GACGAACGCUGGCGGCGUGCUUAACACAUGCAAGUCGAACGGUGAAGGGACUGGUUUUGCUGGUCCUGGAUGAGUGGCGAACGGGUGAGUAACACGUGAGUAACCUGCCCCCUUCUUCUGGAUAACCGCAUGAAAGUGUGGCUAAUACGGGAUAUUCUGGGUCUGUCGCAUGGUGGGCCUGGGAAAGAUUGCGCCUUUUUUGGUGUUUUUGGUGGGGGAUGGGCUCGCGGCCUAUCAGCUUGUUGGUGGGGUGAUGGCCUACCAAGGCGGUGACGGGUAGCCGGCCUGAGAGGGUGGACGGUCACACUGGGACUGAGACACGGCCCAGACUCCUACGGGCGGCAGCAGUGGGGAAUAUUGCACAAUGGGCGCAAGCCUGAUGCAGCGACGCCGCGUGAGGGAUGGAGGCCUUCGGGUUGUGAACCUCUUUCGCCAGUGAAGCAGGCCUGCCUCUUUUUGUGGGUGGGUUGACGGUAGCUGGAUAAGAAGCGCCGGCUAACUACGUG
rnacentral:rRNA from 1 species